rnacentral:other from 1 species
AUUCCCAAUGCUGCACUGAAGAGAACCCAUCUUCCGUGGACUGGGAAUUCCCGGAGAGCUGCGUUUGUGAACAGCUGGCAGGAAUUUCCUAAGUCCCAUCUCUUCAUUUUCCUUUGUGUUGCAUUUUGGAACAUCCAGAAACC